rnacentral:rRNA from 1 species
AGGGAUCAUUACCGAGUUUACAACUCCCAAACCCAAUGUGAACCAUACCAAACUGUUGCCUCGGCGGGGUCACGCCCCGGGUGCGUCGCAGCCCCGGAACCAGGCGCCCGCCGGAGGGACCAACCAAACUCUUUUCUGUAGUCCCCUCGCGGACGUUAUUUCUUACAGCUCUGAGCAAAAAUUCAAAAUGAAUCAAAACUUUCAACAACGGAUCUCUUGGUUCUGGCAUCGAUGAAGAACGCAGCGAAAUGCGAUAAGUAAUGUGAAUCGCAGAAUUCAGUGAAUCAUCGAAUCUUUGAACGCACAUUGCGCCCGCCAGUAUUCUGGCGGGCAUGCCUGUCCGAGCGUCGUUUCAACCCUCGAACCCCUCCGGGGGGUCGGCGUUGGGGACCUCGGGAGCCCCUAAGACGGGAUCCCGGCCCCGAAAUACAGUGGCGGUCUCGCCGCAGCCUCUCCUGCGCAGUAGUUUGCACAACUCGCACCGGGAGCGCGGCGCGUCCACGUCCGUAAAACACCCAACUUCUGAAAUGUUGACCUCGGAUCAGGUAGGAAUACCCGCUGAACUUAAGCAUAUCAAUAA